ACGUCAAUCUACCCAACAAAUAAGGAAGUACUGAAUCUUGCUAUCAUUGGUCAAUACAACACGUUCAUCUAAAAAAACAUCAAUUUUAUCUUUAUGUGCUAUGAUAAAUGGUAUUGAAGUAGACAUAUCAAAAGAUUCAGUGUAGGAAUUCUCAUGUGGAGGUAGAAAGUGAUCAUUAAAGGGGAAAAAAUAGUUUUUGUAAGCAACGAAGUCCUGAAUAGUUAAAAUAGUGUCGUGGUCAAAAUGUGAUAAAAGAUCAAUGACACAUGCAUUUGAACCAACAUGCUUUAAAGUUUUAUAAAGACCAGCACUACGGGCUUGUAGUAUAACAUAAUCCCUAAUGUUAAAUUCAAAAUGUUGUUUAUGCCAAUCAGCUUGAGAUUUAUAUAAUGCAUUACUUGCGUCAAGUUGUUUAUUGAUCUCAGUAUACAAGUCAUGAAGAUAAUAUAAAAAUAUUUCAGCUAACAACGACACACUAGCAUGCGGGGACAUAGGAAUAAGAUCUGGGCCGCCUAGACUUAUGACUAUGAACAACUUUAAAUGGAUUUAGACCUAGAGACCGAUUUAUAGAAUUGUUAUAUGCAAUUUGGACAGUUGGAAGGAUCAAAUUCCAAUUUCCCAGAGUUUCCUUGCAAAGAGCCUGAUUACACAAAUCAUCAAUACUUUUGGGUGGGAUAAGAGUAGGACACACAACAUUUGACUGAGAGGUAUUGGGAACAAGGGGUACGAUGCCUAGACUCAUAGGAAAAGUUCGAAUACUAUCUAAGGGGGUGUCCUUACUAUCAUCCAAGUCAUCAAAUUCUUCAAAUUUAGGUUCAUAGAUUCAAUUUUCUAAUCGCUCAUCUCUCAUAUUCUUUUGUUCUUCAAUGAAUAAGGCUCAAUUAGAACAUUCAGAAGAGAUGUGACCAAAGUCCUUAUAGUUGAAGAACUGCAAAUGAGAAGAAGUUAUUGAAGUUUCAAAAUCUUGACCUUUAUUGUCCAACAGAGGAGCAUUAGAUGGGAGAGGACCUAUGAUAGACUUAUGACGAGGUGGCGUUGAUGAGACGAGUGAACGAUAGUGACUACGCUUUACAUAUGAAGUACUAAUAAGUAACUCGUAGUCCUAAGCUAAAAAGUAAGUGUGAUCAAGAGUA
rnacentral:lncRNA from 1 species